rnacentral:rRNA from 1 species
AGUGAACGCUGGCGGUAGGCCUAACACAUGCAAGUCGAACGGCAGCACAGUAAGAGCUUGCUCUUACGGGCGUCGAGUGGCGGACGGGUGAGGAAUACAUCGGAAUCUACUUUUUCGUGGGGGAUAACGUCGGGAAACUUACGCUAAUACCGCAUACGACCUACGUGUGAAAGCAGGGGAUCUUCGGACCUUUCGCGAUUGAAUAAGCCGAUGUGGGAUUAGCUAGAUGGCGGGGUAGAGGCACACCAAGGCGACGAUCCGUAGCUGGUCUGAGAGGGUGAUCAGACACGCGGGAACUGAGAAACGGGCGAGACGCCGAGGGGAGGACGCAGUGGGGACUAUUGGGCAAUGGGGGAAUGGCUGAUCCAGGCCAACCGGGUGGGUGAUGAAGGACUUAGGGUUGGAAAGCGCUUUUGUUGGGAAAGAAAAGCAGCAGGUUAAUACGCGGCUGUUCUGACGGUACCCAAAGAAUAAGCACCGGCUAACUUCGUG